AGAUGUUGGGUUAAGUCCCGCAACGAGCGCAACCCCUGUCCUGUGUUGCCAUGCCGAAAGGCGGCACUCUCAGGAGACCGCCAGCGAUAAGCUGGAGGAAGGUGGGGAUGACGUCAAGUCAUCAUGGCCUUUAUGUCCAGGGCUACACACGUGCUACAAUGGGCGGUACAAAGCGCAGCGAACCCGCGAGGGCAAGCAAAUCGCAAAAAACCGUUCUCAGUUCGGAUUGCAGGCUGCAACUCGCCUGCAUGAAGCUGGAAUCGCUAGUAAUGGCGUAUCAGAACGACGCCGUGAAUACGUUCCCGGGCCUUGUACACACCGCCCGUCACAUCACGAAAGUGGGUUGUACUAGAAGUCUGUGCCCUGACCCGCAAGGGGAGGAGCGGCCCAAGGUAUGACUCAUGAUUGGGGUGAAGUCGUAACAAGGUAA
rnacentral:rRNA from 1 species